rnacentral:rRNA from 1 species
AGAGUUUGAUCCUGGCUCAGAACUAACGCUGGCGGCGUGCCUAACACAUGCAAGUCGAGCGGUCACCAUCUUGUAGCAAUACAGGAGACGUGAUAGCGGCAGACGGGUGAGUAACACGUAGGCAAUCUAUCUUUCCGACCGGGAUAACUAGCCGAAAGGUUAGCUAAUACCUGAUGCGAUCGUCGAGCGGCAUCGUUUGA